CUUACCCAUAUGUGUUUUUUUGGAGCAUGUUGCCCGAAUGGGAUUGUUGGAAGCCUAGCUUAUUAAGCUCAGUGGGAGUUUGUUAUUUAUGUAUUGAACAUGCUAGUAUUUUGUACGGAUUGCUUAUGGCUUGUGUUUUGUUAAGAACAUGCAUUAUGAUACUGAAGUCACUUCUUUAUUGUUAUUACAUAUGUAUGCUUAUACAUAUAUGUCGUUGUUCAAGGAAGUGACAGGUACAAAACGAGAUGAAUGCGCAUAAUCUCAAUUUUGUCGUACCUCAUGCAUGUUUAGUUCGAUUGUUAAUGAUUGUUAAUGGAUAAAUGUCUUCAAGGUCAAUUCAUACAUAAUACAUGUAUCCUGUCGAUAUGAUAUUAUGUACGUCUUAAUUGGUUACCUUAUGUGUGAUAGACAAUGUUAUGGUGGUUGAUUAUAUUGUCCAAGUGGGAGAAUGUUAGAAUUAUUAUUGUGGACUAAUAUAAUCAUGAGCUUAAUACCAUAAACGCAAUCAUUAACUAUGUGCCCAAUAUUUGUUCACUACCAUAAUGGGAUGGUUAAUAAUCAUAUAUUAUGUUAGAGGCACAUGAGAGCACCCUUAAAACUAUAAUUGGCCCAUUAAAUUAUAGUAUACCAUUAUUGGACCACUUAAGCCCAAUUAGUAAAUAACCCUUUAGGGUUAAAGGGGCAUGAGAUGUAUAUAUAUAUGUUAUAUAUGAAGAAGUGGUUUUUAAGGUAAGUUAAUGGUAAUAAGAUGAAGAGGGGAUAGCUCCACAUUGUGCUCCUCUCCAAUCUUGGUUUUACAUUGGAUUGUUUGGAUUCUUGGAUGCUCUAACAUGGAUCAAAUGGAUGGUUCAUCAAUGGAAGGUUGGCUCCGAGGGGCGGACCCACAUAUAAUCGAGACGGGGCAAUCGCCCUCCCUGAAAAAAAAAUCGAGAAAAAAAUAUCUAUGCAAUUUAAUUAGUUACAACAUAUAUUUGUAAUAAAAGAUGAUAUUUGUAACUAUAAUAUUAAUUUUAAUAUAAUGGUUAAGCUACUUAGCAUAUAGGUUAGAGGACAAGGGUUCUAAUCCCA